rnacentral:tRNA from 1 species
GGAGCCAUAGCUCAGUGGAAGAGCAUCUGUUUUGCAUGCAGAAUGUCCCAGGUUCAAUCACCAGCAUCUUCA